UACGAAGGGGGCUAGCGUUGCUCGGAAUUACUGGGCGUAAAGCGCACGUAGGCGGCUUUCUAAGUCGGGGGUGAAAUCCUGGAGCUCAACUCCAGAACUGCCUUCGAUACUGGAGAGCUCGAGUCCGGGAGAGGUGAGUGGAACUGCGAGUGUAGGAGGUGAAAUUCGUAGAUAUUCGCAAGAACACCAGUGGCGAAGGCGGCUCACUGGCCCGGUACUGACGCUGAGGUGGCGAAAGCGUGG
rnacentral:rRNA from 1 species